GAAUCUCUUCCGGAACAUUCAUUCGUUUCAAAAAGUGUGCAGUACUCGGUUUCUAUCAUAUUUCUUGUUUCGUACUCCAUUCUUUCUCUCCUCUCUACUCUAUUAACUCCCAUAGCUUUUUCUCCACUUCCAACAAUGGCAACACCAUUAAUGGUUCUCGAUCCAAAACCCUUACCGGAGCCACAUCAACCCGACCCGACCCAUCUAUACACGACGUUCCCUCCGACGGCGAAGACGACCUCUACGCCCGCCUAAAAUCUCUUCAACGGCAGCUGGAAUUCAUCUAGAUCCAAGAGGAAUACGUGAAGGACGAACUGAAAAAUCUCCGGCGAGAGCACUUACGGGCACAGGAAGAAGUCAAACGGAUUCAAUCGGUGCCGUUAGUAAUCGGUCAGUUCAUGGAGAUGAUUGAUACAAAUAACGCUAUUGUAGGGUCCACUACGGGAUCUAAUUACUACGUUAGAAUACUCAGUACGAUUAAUCGUGAGCUACUUAAACCCUCGGCUUCGAAUGCGCCUGUUGAUGUUUUGCCUCCUGAAGCUGAUUCGAGUAUUUCUCUGCUUAGCCAAUUGGAGAAGCCUGAUGUUACCUAUAGUGGUAAUCAAUUUGACUGCAACUGCUCGAAGGAUUGGGUCUCCUUGGGAAAAUGAAAAGGCGAGCACAUAUACAGUGGGAUGAGGAAAAUUUGGGAGAAAUGGAGGCAAAUAAACCAGUGAGGCAGAAAAUAACUGAACCAAAGACACCAUAUCACCGCAUGAUCGAUAUUGAUGGAUCUUUAUCUCCUAUACGAGGUAGUUUUGAGAAAGGCAAUGGUGAUGCAGUACAUGCAGAAGCUAUACGCAGUGCAUUGAAUGAGGUGGUUUCUUCCAGUAAGAAUAAAUCCCAACUGUCGGGCUAGACAUCAUCUGAGGAUGAAGCUGAUGUCAUGGACCAAGAUGAUGCAGGUUUAGUUUUAUUUGUUCGUAUACAACCCAAAUAUAUGUUGGUUCUUGUUUCUAACUCUUUUUGAGUAACUUCUGGUGUAUUUAUUUAGCAAUAUUUCAUGCUUUCAAGUUAAUAUUUUUUAAAUAAUUUAUUGAAAUGGUUCAAGCAUAUAUAUUUUGUUAUUAGAUACAUAUGGAGAACGUCAAAAGCAACUUCUUAUAUCUCAACUUGAAUUGUGGGAAGUUUCACUUGAAGAUCUGUAUAAGAUGUUGAAUUCCAAUUAUAUAGUUGUGCCUAAGAGGAUGACAAUUGUGACUGCGAGAAACAUUUGUAUGUUAUCUGAUUAUUUUUUUUCCCGUUGUUUGCUUUACAUCCGCGUUGCUUUGUAGUGCAGAUGACAUGAUAUUUGGCGCAAUUAGAAGUAGAUGUCAGACUUGCAAUGAAAUUUUGCAUUUUGAUGGAUCAAAAUUUUCGUGUCUUGCAAAUUCGUUAUGUCGAGGUGAAUGUCUUUAUUUUCUUUUAAAGGUCAAGAGGGCAGCCACUCCAUGGAGAGUGCCACAAAAUAUAGAAAAUGGAGAGUUGGUGCAGGUAUUCAGAACUAGUGCGAUCUUCUUUUCUUUUUCAAAUUUCCAACGCAACAGUGGUCUUGCAUUCUUUUUCCAGUGGCAGCAAGUCCGCCAAAAGUACGUACAAGAGUUUUAUUUUGAUGAUACGUUGAAGCAACAAAGAAUAAACGUGAUAGGGAAGAUAGAUCUUUACAAAGAUAUAGUUUUUGGAGGGCGUUAUAAGAUUCAAGAUAAUCAUAAAUGCUUUCUGGUCGGCCAAGAUGAUUUUCUUGGUAAAGAAAGGUACUUUUCUUUAACGGCAUAGAGAUUAUAUAAAUUUCUUUCACUUUGUUUUACCAUAUUUUUUUACAUCAUAUGUUAAUAAAGACUAUGUUGUUGUAGAUAUCUUUUUGCUCUAGUCUUUGAGCCGGAGAGUACGGAGAAUACGGAACCUGAACCUUUGUACAGCUUUCUUAGAAGGGAGAAGAUUUACCGAAAGGAAGCUGAUCCUGUUUUAUUGGAGAAUCUUUCACUUCCAGAAGCAAUAGAAAGGUUUGAAGAAACAUUUUAUUUUGCUACUGGAAAUAUAUGGAAGGCGGGGAUUCACAAAACAUUUGUAGGACAUCUGAAUUUGCAAGACACGGAUGUCUCACAAAUGUUUUGUGAAUCCCCACCUUCCAUACAUUUCCAGUAGCAGAGUAAAAUGUUUCUUCUAACCUUUCUAUUGCUUCUGGAGUGAAAGAUUCUCCAAUAAAACAGGAUCAGCUUCCUUUCGGUAAAUCUUCUCCCUUCUAAGAAAGCUGUGCAAAGGUUCAGGUUCCGUAUUCUCCGUACUCUCUGGCUCGAAGACUAGAGCAAAAAGAUACCUACAACAACAUAGUCUUUAUUAAUGUAUGACAUAAAAAAUAUGGUAAAACAAAGUGACAAGAAAUUUAUAUAAUUCUCUAUGUCGUUAAAGAAAAGUACCUUUUUUUACCAAUAAAAUCAUCUUGACUGUCAGAAAGCAUUUAUGAUUAUCUUAAAUCUUAUAACGCCCUCCAAAAAUUAUAUCUUCGUAAAGAUCUAUCUUCCCUAUCACGUUUAUUCUAUGUUGCUUCAACGUAUCAUCAAAAUAAGACUCUUGUAUGUAGUUUUGGCGGACUUGCUGCCACUGGAAAAAGAAUGCAUGACCAUUGUUGCGUUGGAAAUUUGAAAGAGAAAAGAAGAUCGCACUAGUUCUGAAUACCUGCACCAACUCUCCAUUUUCUAUACUUUCUGGCACUCUCCAUGGAGUGGUUGCCCUCUUGACCUUUAAAAGAAAAUAUAGGCAUUUACCCCGACGUAACGAAUUUGCAAGAAACGGAAAUUUUGAUCCAUCAAAAUGCAAAAUUUCAUUGCAAGUCUGACAUCUGCUUCUAAUUGCGCCAAAUACCAUGCCAUCUGCACUAUAAAGCAACGCGGAUAUAAAACAAACAGCGAAAAAAAGUAAAUAAUCAGAUAACAUACCAGAUGUUUCUCGCAGUCACAAUUGUCAUCCUCUUAUGCAACUAUAUAAUUGGAAUUCAACAUCUUAUACAGGUCUUCAAGUGAGACUUCCCAUGAUUCAAGUUGAGAUAUAAGAAGUUUCUUUUGGCGUUUUUUCCAAAUGUAUCUAAUAAUAAAAUAUAUAUGCUUGAACCAUUUCAAUAAAUUAUUUAAAUAUUACUAAUUUGAAAGCAUGAAAUAUUCCUGAAUAAAUCCAUCCGAAGUCACUCAAAAAGAGUAAGAAAUAAGAACCAACGUAUAUUUGGGUUAUAUACGGACAGAUAAAACUAAACCUGCAUCAUCUUGGUCCACGAUAUCAGCUUCAUCCUCAGAUGAUGUCCAGCCAGCCCGUUGGGAUAUAUUCUUACUGGAAGAAGCCACCUCAUUCAAUGCAUUGCGUAUAGCCUCUACAUGUACUACAAUAUUAGCUAUCAGUUUACAGAUACAUAAAUAUUUCUUCGAAAUACAGAUGAAUUAAUGAAUGUUCACCAAAAAGCAGGAGCACUAAGAUUGAGGGAAUCUGGUCCAUUCCAUGAGGAUACGGGUCUAAGUAACUUAAGGCAACCUUCUCACCCUCCAGUUCUGCCGGAAAUGCAACAAAAAUCUUGUUCCAUAUCUCCAUCCAGUGUUGCAGGCUUAAGGCCCGGACCAGCUAAGUCCGUUCAGGUGUGAGACAUUGCAUGAAGAAGAAUAUCAUCCUGUUCUUCAGAGGCUCAAUGUCACUAUUCUUGGUUCGAUACAUGUUGAUGGCAGGGGCGGAGCCAGGAUUUCAAACUUAUGGAUUCGGGAUCCUAAUUCUUUUAAGUUACUGGUUUUUAAUUAAUAAUUUGUACACUACCCUCCCCAGACUCCACUUGUGGGAUUCCAUUGGAUGGUUGUUGUUGUUGUUGUUGUAUUUAAUUAAAAUUUUAAGACAAAUACAUGAUUUGAACCAAAGCUAGCCGUCAUUGUGGCUCCGCCUCUGGUUGAUGGUUCUAAUUCACUCGUUUAUGUUCCAAAAUGUUAUUGCUAUUCUAGUGACUAUUUUAUAUUUUUAAAGAUUGUUGGCUGUUCCUGAA